rnacentral:rRNA from 1 species
GUCGAACGAUGAAGCCUAGCUUGCUAGGUGGAUUAGUGGCGAACGGGUGAGUAAUACGUGAGUGACCUACCUUUGACUCUGGGAUAAGCCUGGGAAACUGGGUCUAAUACCGGAUACGACCAAUCUCCGCAUGGGGUGUUGGUGGAAAGCGUUAUGGAGUGGUUUUAGAUGGGCUCACGGCCUAUCAGCUUGUUGGUGAGGUAAUGGCUUACCAAGGCGACGACGGGUAGCCGGCCUGAGAGGGUGACCGGCCACACUGGGACUGAGACACGGCCCAGACUCCUACGGGAGGCAGCAGUGGGGAAUAUUGCACAAUGGGCGCAAGCCUGAUGCAGCGACGCCGCGUGAGGGAUGACGGCCUUCGGGUUGUAAACCUCUGUUAGCAUCGAAGAAGCGAAAGUGACGGUAGGUGCAGAGAAAGCGCCGGCUAACUACGUGCCAGCAGCCGCGGUAAUACGUAGGGCGCGAGCGUUGUCCGGAAUUAUUGGGCGUAAAGAGCUUGUAGGCGGUUGGUCGCGUCUGCUGUGAAAGGCUGGGGCUUAACCCUGGUUUUGCAGUGGGUACGGGCUAACUAGAGUGCAGUAGGGGAGACUGGAAUUCCUGGUGUAGCGGUGGAAUGCGCAGAUAUCAGGAGGAACACCGAUGGCGAAGGCAGGUCUCUGGGCUGUAACUGACGCUGAGAAGCGAAAGCAUGGGGAGCGAACAGGAUUAGAUACCCUGGUAGUCCAUGCCGUAA